rnacentral:lncRNA from 1 species
ACAAAAAGAGUGUUUCCAAACUGCUCAAUCAAAAGAAAGGUUCAACUCUGUGAGAUGAACGCACACAUCACAAAGAAGUUUGUCAGAAUUCUUCUGUCUAGUUUUUAUGUGAAGAUAUUUCCUUUUCCACCAUGGGCCUCAAAGUGCUCCAAAUGUCCACUUGAAAAUUCUACAAAAAGAGAGUUUCAAAACUCCUCAAUCAAAAGAAAGUUUUAACUCUGUGAGAUGAAUGAACACAUCACAAAGAAGUUUCUCAGAUUGCUUCGGUGUAGAUUUUAUGUGAAGAUAUUUCCUUUUCCACCAUAGGCCGCAAAGCCUUCCAAAUGUCC